AGCGAACGCUGGCGGCAGGCCUAACACAUGCAAGUCGAACGGAUCCUUCGGGAUUAGUGGCGGACGGGUGAGUAACACGUGGGAACGUGCCUUUUGGUUCGGAAUAACUCAGGGAAACCUGUGCUAAUACCGGAUGUGCCCUUCGGGGGAAAGAUUUAUCGCCAUUAGAGCGGCCCGCGUCUGAUUAGCUAGUUGGUGAGGUAAAGGCUCACCAAGGCGACGAUCAGUAGCUGGUCUGAGAGGAUGAUCAGCCACACUGGGACUGAGACACGGCCCAGACUCCUACGGGAGGCAGCAGUGGGGAAUCUUGCGCAAUGGGCGAAAGCCUGACGCAGCCAUGCCGCGUGAAUGAUGAAGGUCUUAGGAUUGUAAAAUUCUUUCACCGGGGACGAUAAUGACGGUACCCGGAGAAGAAGCCCCGGCUAACUUCGUGCCAGCAGCCGCGGUAACAC
rnacentral:rRNA from 1 species